AACUUCAGCUAAAGGCGGUUGAGUCAGCUGCACUCUGCUCAAAAAGUCCGCCACGUUAUUCUCCUUGCCUUUUAUGUAUUCGAUAUCAAAGUAAAACCCGUCUAGUAAAAUUUUCCACCUGAUGAUUCGCGAAUUUGGGUCCUUAAGCGAAUAAAGCCAUUUCAGGGGCUGGUGAUCAGUUUGGACUAGGAACUUUCGACCGUAAAGAGUCCUACUGGCAUAACUUAUCGGUUUUCCUUCUUGGCUUAAUACCGCGCCAAUGGCUACGUUACUAGCAUCAGUAGUUAAUACGAACUUUUUACUAAAAUCGGGAUAGCGCAAUAAUGGCGGAUUUACUAAAAUAUUCUUUAACUUUUCGAAAGACUCAAUGUAUGAUUUGUCGUUAACAUCAA